rnacentral:rRNA from 4 species
GAUUCGUCACACUAUCAUUAACUGAAUCCAUAGGUUAAUGAGGCGAACCGGGGGAACUGAAACAUCUAAGUACCCCGAGGAAAAGAAAUCAACCGAGAUUCCCCCAGUAGCGGCGAGCGAACGGGGAGGAGCCCAGAGCCUGAAUCAGCAUGUGUGUUAGUGGAAGCGUCUGGAAAGGCGCGCGAUACAGGGUGACAGCCCCGUACACAAAAGCGCAUGUGCUGUGAGCUCGAUGAGUAGGGCGGGACACGUGGUAUCCUGUCUGAAUAUGGGGGGACCAUCCUCCAAGGCUAAAUACUCCUGACUGACCGAUAGUGAACCAGUACCGUGAGGGAAAGGCGAAAAGAACCCCGGCGAGGGGAGUGAAAAAGAACCUGAAACCGUGUACGUACAAGCAGUGGGAGCACCCUUCGGGGUGUGACUGCGUACCUUUUGUAUAA